CAAUAGCGUAUAUUAAAGUUGUUGCAGUUAAAAAGCUCGUAGUUGGACCUUGGACCUGGACAGGCGGUCCGCCUCACGGCGUGUACUGUCUUGCUGGGUCCUUCCUCUUGGUGAUCUGUUGUUUCGGCAGCAGGGAACCAGGACUUUUACUUUGAAAAAAUUAGAGUGUUCAAAGCAGGCUCGACGCCGGAAUAUAUUAGCAUGGAAUAAUAAAAUAGGACGUGCGGUUCUAUUUUGUUGGUUUUUGGAAUCGCCGUAAUGAUUAAUAGGGACAGUCGGGGGCAUUAGUACUCACAUGCUAGAGGUGAAAUUCUUGGAUUUUGUGAAGACUAACUUCUGCGAAAGCAUUUGCCAAGGAUGUUUUCAUUAA
rnacentral:rRNA from 1 species